rnacentral:misc_RNA from 1 species
GAUUUCUGAAGGUAAUUAAAAUCUCUACGUGUUGUUAUGUGAUGUGAGGAUAUGCAUGAACUGUUUUUGUAGUCUUGCUUAAAGAUUUCAAUUUUGUAAUCCUAAUUUUGGAUUCAGGUAUGAUUGCAACUCCGAUUUCCCUAAUUUUAUUAUCAAAACUGUGUUUCUUGAGUUUCACGUUUUAAUCUUUCUCAUAUUAGAAAGAGAAUCUAGUACUUGAAGCAGAGUUUUUUCUCCAACGGAACUUUCCAUUAUUUGGAGCUUUGAAAUUCUUCUUAUUGAUCAAUUUUCUUGCUUUAUAAAAGAAAAAAAAAAUGAAAGACCCUUCUUACUGCUUUGUUGUUUAUUUUGUGUUGGUAUAUCAUUAUUCUCAAAAUGAGUAUAUAGCUUCAUUUUCAAGUCGAUAAUAUUUAG